GACGAACGCUGGCGGCGUGCUUAACACAUGCAAGUCGAACGGAAAGGCCCUGCUUGCAGGGUACUCGAGUGGCGAACGGGUGAGUAACACGUGGGUGAUCUGCCCUGCACUUCGGGAUAAGCUUGGGAAACUGGGUCUAAUACCGGAUAGGAGCCAUCUUUAGUGUGGUGGUUGGACAGUUUUUUCGGUGUAGGAUGAGCUCGCGGCCUAUCAGCUUGUUGGUGGGGUAAUGGCCUACCAAGGCGGCGACGGGUAGCCGGCCUGAGAGGGUGUACGGCCACAUUGGGACUGAGAGACGGCCCAGACUCCUACGGGAGGCAGCAGUGGGGAAUAUUGCACAAUGGGCGCAAGCCUGAUGCAGCGACGCCGCGUGGGGGAUGAAGGCCUUCGGGUUGUAAACUCCUUUCGCUAGGGACGAAGCUUUUUGUGACGGUACCUAGAUAAGAAGCACCGGCUAACUACGUG
rnacentral:rRNA from 1 species